rnacentral:lncRNA from 1 species
UCAAUUGUGCAGCAUAGAAAAAUUUGUCUGGAAAUGCUUCAGUGACGCCCUGUGGUGGGGAGGAGUCCCAGCAAGUAUGCUUCAUUUCUUUCUGCAGAAGUGGCGGGUGCUGCUGCUGGGGGAUGGUGAUGGCGCCAAGUGAAAGGCUGGAUGGAGGCCUUCAUGGAGAAGCUCAAGACCUCUGUAGAAAACACCCAGGGGAAGCUGGAAAAAAAAC